rnacentral:rRNA from 1 species
AUAAUGGGUCAGCGACUUAUAUUCUGUAGCAAGGUUAACCGAAUAGGGGAGCCGAAGGGAAACCGAGUCUUAACUGGGCGUUAAGUUGCAGGGUAUAGACCCGAAACCCGGUGAUCUAGCCAUGGGCAGGUUGAAGGUUGGGUAACACUAACUGGAGGACCGAACCGACUAAUGUUGAAAAAUUAGCGGAUGACUUGUGGCUGGGGGUGAAAGGCCAAUCAAACCGGGAGAUAGCUGGUUCUCCCCGAAAGCUAUUUAGGUAGCGCCUCGUGAAUUCAUCUCCGGGGGUAGAGCACUGUUUCGGCAAGGGGGUCAUCCCGACUUACCAACCCGAUGCAAACUGCGAAUACCGGAGAAUGUUAUCACGGGAGACACACGGCGGGUGCUAACGUCCGUCGUGAAGAGGGAAACAACCCAGACCGCCAGCUAAGGUCCCAAAGUCAUGGUUAAGUGGGAAACGAUGUGGGAAGGCCCAGACAGCCAGGAUGUUGGCUUAGAAGCAGCCAUCAUUUAAAGAAAGCGUAAUAGCUCACUGGUCGAGUCGGCCUGCGCGGAAGAUGUAACGGGGCUAAACCAUGCACCGAAGCUGCGGCAGCGACGCUUAUGCGUUGUUGGGUAGGGGAGCGUUCUGUAAGCCUGUGAAGGUGUACUGUGAGGUAUGCUGGAGGUAUCAGAAGUGCGAAUGCUGACAUAAGUAACGAUAAAGCGGGUGAAAAGCCCGCUCGCCGGAAGACCAAGGGUUCCUGUCCAACGUUAAUCGGGGCAGGGUGAGUCGACCCCUAAGGCGAGGCCGAAAGGCGUAGUCGAUGGGAAACAGGUUAAUAUUCCUGUACUUGGUGUUACUGCGAAGGGGGGACGGAGAAGGCUAUGUUGGCCGGGCGACGGUUGUCCCGGUUUAAGCGUGUAGGCUGGUUUUCCAGGCAAAUCCGGAAAAUCAAGGCUGAGGCGUGAUGACGAGGCACUACGGUGCUGAAGCAACAAAUGCCCUGCUUCCAGGAAAAGCCUCUAAGCAUCAGGUAACAUCAAAUCGUACCCCAAACCGACACAGGUGGUCAGGUAGAGAAUACCAAGGCGCUUGAGAGAACUCGGGUGAAGGAACUAGGCAAAAUGGUGCCGUAACUUCGGGAGAAGGCACGCUGAUAUGUAGGUGAAGUCCCUCGCGGAUGGAGCUGAAAUCAGUCGAAGAUACCAGCUGGCUGCAACUGUUUAUUAAAAACACAGCACUGUGCAAACACGAAAGUGGACGUAUACGGUGUGACGCCUGCCCGGUGCCGGAAGGUUAAUUGAUGGGGUUAGCGCAAGCGAAGCUCUUGAUCGAAGCCCCGGUAAACGGCGGCCGUAACUAUAACGGUCCUAAGGUAGCGAAAUUCCUUGUCGGGUAAGUUCCGACCUGCACGAAUGGCGUAAUGAUGGCCAGGCUGUCUCCACCCGAGACUCAGUGAAAUUGAACUCGCUGUGAAGAUGCAGUGUACCCGCGGCAAGACGGAAAGACCCCGUGAACCUUUACUAUAGCUUGACACUGAACAUUGAGCCUUGAUGUGUAGGAUAGGUGGGAGGCUUUGAAGUGUGGACGCCAGUCUGCAUGGAGCCGACCUUGAAAUACCACCCUU